rnacentral:tRNA from 1 species
GCCUGCGUAGCUCAAAUGGUAGAGCAUUCCCAUGGUAAGGGAAAGGCCUCUGGUUCAAGUCCGGUCGCAGGCU